rnacentral:misc_RNA from 1 species
CAAGCUUAAAUAGACUUCGUUUUCUAUUAAAAAAACACGGACUUCUUAAUGAAAAAUUAAAACUCAAGGGCUUGAAUUCAACACAAAUUUUAUUUAACAAAGUAAUCACAAAGUAUGGUGAUAUCCGAGAUAGGGUCUCAAUACUCUCUACUCUUGGUACAACAUCAGAGAACCAUUGAUACAACUUCGAAGGCCUUAUUAUACAAAUCUGGCAGAUACCAGUCUCUUUGAGAUUGUGCUGGUGACUUUGUAUCGAAGGGUGCACCGACACCCACAGUGCCGAAUGUAACACAGAAGAACCCUUUUACACUCUCAUUCCUUAUUUAAAGCCGCUACAAUUUACUCUUUUGUGUUUAUACAUUUGAAUCACAACUCAGCAUGCAACAACUCAUCAUCUGAAAAAGAGCUCAUGAAGUAAGAUGUACUCAAGGAUACCUCGCCAAAAAGUCUGGACAGGAUGAGUCGUGCUACAUUCUCAGCUGCAACAGCACUUGUUUCCAUGGUGCUAGCUGCAUUCUCAAAGGCAUUCACAUAGUACAAAUGCUGACCAUCCAAAAUAAAAGGCGCAAAUACUUCAGGAGCUUUGUAAUGAGGGUAAGCACCCCAGUCUAUUCUUAUAGUCUCCUUCCUCACACUGUAAGCAGCAUCAAUAAAUUGUCAGUACAUAAAAGUUGGCAGGUUUUCUAUAGGUAGUUUAACAAGGGAAUUCUGUCUGGCCCUAGGUGCAGUCUAACUUUGGACUGUGUAGAGGACAAAAGCUUAAAUACAAAUUCUUUUAAAUAGGCUCAGUCCUUGUGCAAUAAUAAACCAAAAAUUUAUAAGAAUGAAUUGCAUCACAUUGAAUACAUCUUUGCAAGGGAUGCCUUGGGACUUAAAACAAGGCCUGAAUAUCAGAAACCAUGGAGUGAAAUUGAAUCCCUCCAAAGAUAACUACACCAAAAAGUCCUAAAAGUAUAACCCUUGUAAAAUUAAGUCCUAAUGAGGGUUCUUGUAGGACUUCUGGUGUCAUUAUCCCAAUACCUCCCAGAUUACUAGCUAUGUUGAUUUUACUGGCAGUGAGCUAGUAGUGGAAUAAGUAAUUCUGUGAUGGCAUAAAACAAAAACUAAAUAAUGCUAUUGAUGCAAUUUCAAGGACAUUUUGUAUGUUUCAUUUCCACUAAAGUCAUGACCAGUUGAAAAUUUUACCUAAAAAUGUUAUCAAGUAAUGAAUCAGGCAUUGCUUUUCGAGAGAAUACUUUGUAUGUCAUAUCUGUCUCAUUGUGCCGCUUGAGAAUAGAAAUGCUUGAGAACGGAAGGUCAGGAUCCUCUAUGGUGCCCACAAGUUCUGGAAUUUCUGAGACAGUUUGUAGGCCAAAAUAUCCAGGAUUAAGGAGGCCCCUCACAAAAGUUGCAUGUGUGUGUUGUAAUUGACGCUCAGGAAUUGAUAUUGGAGGUGUAAAUUGAAUAUUCAACUCAUCUAGUGGUGUCGCAAUGGCUGUGACUUCACACAUAUAACUCCUUCCUUUUGUAGAGUUGAGCUCAUAAGAUUCUCCAAGGUUAAAGAUAGACAGUAUUUCUUCAUGGAGGUGCAAUUCAAUAUCUGAUCUAUUAAUUAGCCCACUAGCCAUCUGCCAGUUCCCUCCUUCAAUGGACCACAAACCUCCACCAGACCCUGCCAAGGAAACUGCUCCAGCAAGUCCACUGAUAUAAACACUUUGGCCAUAGUUAAUUCUUGUAAUGACAGUGACAAGUUCUUGAAUCAAUAGAGGAGACAAUGCAACAUUCACCAAUUCCUCUUGCAAAGUGCAAGUAGUUAGAUUGUACAAACCAGCCCACUGCAGCAUCUCAUCUACAGUCUCGAAAGUGGGCCUCGUUUCAAAGCUCUGAUAAUACUUCAAGAACUUGUUUACGGUAACCUCAACGAAGCUGUUCAUUUUGAAAAGCGAAAAGCCAUAGCGCAACAACAUGUAAAGAGAAUUAGCAAAGGAGACGAUCUUCUGUACAAACGGAUUCUUAAACUCAAAAGUCAACGUUUUGAACACAAACUUGUUACCAUUCCAAAUCCCCAGCGAGAAAGAGCUCAUGGAAGUGGGAGGUAUCCUUCGCUUCAAAUUCAGCAAUUUAGUGAAAUUGGACGCGUGAUAGUUCAUGGGAUGAAGAAUGGAGGCACCGGCCUCGAAGGUCUCGCCGGAGAUGGUGACAGUUGCCAUGCGGCCUCCGACGAUCCCGUUUCGCUCGAAAAGAAGGAUACGAGCGGCGGAAGGCGGAGAGUUGGGAGGGGAGUAACUGCGGAGGAAGUGAGCGAGGGAGGAGCCGGCGAUGCCGCUGCCGAUGAUGCAUACGGUGGGGGAAGAGAGGGAUUGAGAUUGGGUGAAGAGAGCAAGGAGGCAGAUGAUGAUCGCGAGUAUGGAUGACAUUUUUGGUGCUACGGGAAGACUGAGCCAACCAACUAACAAAUAACAAUUUAAUUUCCGAUUUAAGCCAAGUAGCUUGAUUCGUCGUUGGUCGUUUAAUUGUGCAUAAACCAUCAGCAGCGAGGCUGUGGGCUUCACAUGGAUUCCGUCCGAG